rnacentral:lncRNA from 1 species
GCAGGUACAUUGGGCUCUGGAUCUGAUCUAAUCAUAUCCUACUCAGGUUCAGCUAUUGGUGUCGGUCCUUCUACCUGUUGAACUUCAUCAAGUUCAACCUUAGAGGCAACGGUUCCUUCACCAAGGAACUCCUUUUCUAAAUAGAUUGCCUUAAGGCUGAUGAACACCUUUUGUUCAUCAGCAUGGUAGAAAAAAUAUCCUUUUAUCUCUUUG